rnacentral:rRNA from 1 species
AUACGUAGGUGACAAGCGUUAUCCGGAUUUACUGGGCGUAAAGGGCGUGUAGGCGGUCUUGCAAGUCAGAAGUGAAAUUCCUGAGCUCAACUCGGGCGCUGCUUCUGAAACUGCAGGACUUGAGUGCUGGAGGGGAUAGCGGAAUUCCUAGUGGAGCGGUAAAAUGCGCAGAUAUUAGGAAGAACACCGGUGGCGAAGGCGGCUAUCUGGACAGUAACUGACGCUGAGGCGCGAAAGCGUGGGGAGAAAACAGGAUUAGAUCCCCUGGUAGUCCACGCCGUAAACGAUGAAUACUAGGUGUAGGGGGUAUCGACUCCCUCUGUGCCGCAGUUAACACAAUAAGUAUUCCGCCUGGGGAGUACGGCCGCAAGGUUGAAACUCAAAUGAAUUGACGGGG